rnacentral:ncRNA from 15 species
UAUAUGGCCGAGUGGUCUAAGGCGCUGGAUUUAGGUUCCAGUAUCUUCGGAUGCGGGAGUUCGAACCUCCCUGUA